GGACUGGCCCCAGAGGAGUNGGCAACGACACCUUCAGGGCCCGGAAAGUUAUCCAAACUCGGUCAUUUAGAGGAAGUAAAAGUCCGUAACAAGGUCUCCGUGGUGAACCAGCGGAGGG
rnacentral:rRNA from 1 species